AUGAACCUCCUUCGGGAGGGGAUUAGUGGCGAACGGGUGAGUAACACGUGGGCAAUCUGCCCUGCACUCUGGGACAAGCCCUGGAAACGGGGUCUAAUACCGGAUACUGAUCAUCUUGGGCAUCCUUGGUGAUCGAAAGCUCCGGCGGUGCAGGAUGAGCCCGCGGCCUAUCAGCUUGUUGGUGAGGUAACGGCUCACCAAGGCGACGACGGGUAGCCGGCCUGAGAGGGCGACCGGCCACACUGGGACUGAGACACGGCCCAGACUCCUACGGGAGGCAGCAGUGGGGAAUAUUGCACAAUGGGCGCAAGCCUGAUGCAGCGACGCCGCGUGAGGGAUGACGGCCUUCGGGUUGUAAACCUCUUUCAGCAGGGAAGAAGCGCAAGUGACGGUACCUGCAGAAGAAGCGCCGGCUAACUACGUGCCAGCAGCCGCGGUAAUACGUAGGGCGCGAGCGUUGUCCGGAAUUAUUGGGCGUAAAGAGCUCGUAGGCGGCUUGUCGCGUCGGUUGUGAAAGCCCGGGGCUUAACCCCGGGUCUGCAGUCGAUACGGGCAGGCUAGAGUUCGGUAGGGGAGAUCGGAAUUCCUGGUGUAGCGGUGAAAUGCGCAGAUAUCAGGAGGAACACCGGUGGCGAAGGCGGAUCUCUGGGCCGAUACUGACGCUGAGGAGCGAAAGCGUGGGGAGCG
rnacentral:rRNA from 1 species